rnacentral:lncRNA from 13 species
AUCCCCAUAUUGACUGGUGAGGAGGAGGAGGAACAUGCAGUGUGAUGAUGCCCUCCCUCUUCCCCUGGGGCAGGAACUAUGUUUGCAUCUAAAUCUGAUAGAGCUAAAGUAAGCUACACCAGACCGAGCCACACUGCGUAACAUUACUGACAGACAGUUGUCACCUCCCUAACAGGACAAUAAGAACACACACAUACCCAUACACUGCCCCCACUUGGACACUGAAGCAGAGGCAACACUGGUGAUAGAGGGAAAGAGAGAGUAAGAGAGAGCAAGCAGACAGAGAGCUGGUCUGGUCUGGGUUAUGGCGUGCAGCAUUGACAAGCCUGUUAACUAUAGAGAGUCAUAUGAAUGCUUUAUAACAUGGGUCUGUGAAUCUGCAUAGAACACAUAAACAUAGACUGCCAGCCACUUCCCGCCUCCUGUAGCAUUGGACAGCACCCGGCUGGAUAUACAUGUCACAGGUAAGAGGGAAAGAGGAGGGUGUAGGUGUUGAGUAAAUCACUUUGUUGGGGUUCUUAUUUUGUAGCUUUGUAUUAUUUGUGCUACGUGCACGGAAAAAUUCAGUUUGAACUCACGUGAGCAGUAGCCAAAAACAUGUUCAUCUGUUGUUCUAUUGUCUGGGUGUCUCCUCCCUUACAGAAUCAAUCAUUAAACACAAAGAGCAUUCUGUUCCCAGUGUCCCAGUGAGGAAUGGAACUGCUGCGCUUUGAUAGAGUAUAGAAAUAGUAUAAUGGUGACGGUUUUGUUUCAAGAUUGGUGGUAGAUUAAUGAAAACUGGAAAGGGGAGUAGAAAGUGAAACAUCAUAGUAUUGACGUCAACUUUAAUCCCUCUGAAUGAGGCAAAGGAGAACUGUAGUAGGCUAAAUGAUAGGCCUAUAAGUAUAAAGCAGAAUAGCAACGGCAUGUGGUUUAGUUCUGAGGUGUUCAUUCUAUUUUGGAUCAGCCAUGUCUGGAGCCUGCAGGCCUCCUGUCUGUCACUGUCCAGAGUUUGUGUGUGUGUGUGUGUGUGUGUGUGUGACCCACUGGCAGCAGUAGAAUCAUAUCAGGACUCUGAUCCCAUAUGCAGAAGCUUCCACACAUUAUCUACACUCUUUGAAAGAAAGGUUCCAAAAGGGUUCUUCAGCUAUCCCCAAAGGAGCACCCUUUUGGGGUUCCAUGUAGAAAGGAAAGGAUUCUACAUGGAACCCAAAAAGGUUUUACCGGGAAUCCAAAAAGCUUCUACUUGGAACCAAAAGAUUCUACCUUGAACCAAAAAGAGUUAUUCAAAGGUUUCUACUAUGGGGAUAGCCGAAGAACUUUAAAUUCUAGGUAGCACCUUUUUUUUGUGUACCGACAACACCCCCUCUCUUCUCCACUUCUUCAGAUAAUAAUGUUUUAUUACUUUAUGCUUUAUGACACAAUCAACUUUGCUGUGACAUUUAAUAUUACUGGCAUUUGUUGUAAACAACGAUAGUGGGUGUGGCAAUGUGUGUUAU